GCCGGCGCCGCUCCAGCUUUUGACCGCCGCGUGCCGCACCAAUCUCGCCAGCCGGAGGAGCCAUCUGAGUCGCCACCGCCUGCUUCGCCCUCACGCCGCUCGAUCCGUCUAGUUCCACUGCUGACCGUUCGCACGUCGCCAACCCAGCCACCGAUCUCCGUCGGUCACUGCCUUCCUUCACCGCCGUUUGUCGGAUUUUGGCUUGUGGUGAAGUUUUGGAUUCAAGCAUUGAAGGAAUUUUAAGGUCGAAAUGUGUUGUCAGACAUUGCGCAGGAUUAAGUUGGGUUCGCAAAUGGAUUUGAGUUUGAAACUAAUUUUGGACUAAGCAACAUUUUGAUUAAGGCAUUUAUUUGAGAGACUGAAGACAAUUUGGAACAAACUACACUUUGGGCUUUAGAUUCAAGUUUUGGAGAACUUUUGAAUUUAGACGCGAACGACUUGAGUUUGAUUCCAACAAAAAUUUGGUGUUAUAAAUUUGAGGUCAUCUUGGUCUAACCACUUUUGGGAUCUCAUUCAAAAGUUGUGGAAAGUUAGAAAGGAGUUUGUUCGCUUGACUUAACUUUUGGACUUUAUUUGAGGAAAAGGUAAAGAUGUACCGGUGAUGGCGUAGCGGAAUUCAUGAUCGUGUCACUGGGACUAGACCUUUUCGCUUUCGCAUCUUGAAAUCUGUUAUUUGGUUUCACUGUUUAAAAUUUAUUACUAAGGAUUAUUUCUUCUAUAUGACUUUGAUUAGCCUUUAAGAAUUUUGGAUACCCUAUUAAUUGUUUUAACAAUUGCAUUUAAUAA